GAUUCCUGUACUGCGGUAUGACGGAACUGUGGGGACACGUAAGGAAAGCGGAAGCCGGGAAUGGAAAGCCCGGUGCAAGCGGGGUACCAGCCACUUUGGCAAAUCCGGGUGGCAAUGGGAAGCCGUGAUGCGGAGCGAAAUAGAGUAGCGAAGUCCGUGAGCCAUGCGUCAAGAAAAGCCGCUAUUGUUUAUACCGUACCCGUACCGUAAACCGACACAGGUGGAUGAGGAGAGAAUCCUAAGGCCGGCGGAAGAAGCAUUGUCAAGGAACUCGGCAAAAUGGCCCCGUAACUUAGGGAUGAGGGGUGCCUGGGAAACCAGGCCGCAGAGAAUAGGCUCAAGCAACUGUUUAGCAAAAACACAGGUCUAUGCGAAACCGAAAGGUGAGGUAUAUGGGCUGACGCCUGCCCGGUGCUGGAAGGUUAAGAGGAGAGGUUAGCGGUAACGCGAAGCUUUGAAUUUAAGCCCCAGUAAACGGCGGCCGUAACAAUAACGGUCCUAAGGUAGCGAAAUUCCUUGUCGGGUAAGUUCCGACCCGCACGAGAGGUGUAAUGAUUUGAGCGCUGUCUCGACAAUGCAUCCGGUGAAAUUGAAGUACCAGUGAAGAUGCUGGUUACCUGCGCCAGGACGGAAAGACCCCAUGGAGCUUUACUCCAGUCUGGUACUGGGACUCGGUAUUGCAUGUACAGGAUAGGUGGGAGGCUAGGAGAUGGUAACGCCAGUUGCCAUGGAGCCGCUGUUGGGAUACCACCCUUGCAGUAUUGGGUUUCUAACCAGCCGCCGUGACCCGGCGGUGGGACAAUGCCAGACGGGGAGUUUGACUGGGGCGGUCGCCUCCGAAAGGGUAUCGGAGGCGCCCAAAGGUUCCCUCAGAAUGGACGGAAACCAUUCGAAGAGUGCAAAGGCAGAAGGGAGCUUGACUGCGACACCGACGGGUGGAGCAGGUACGAAAGUAGGGCUUAGUGAUCCGGUGGUAUUAAGUGGGAAUGCCAUCGCUCAACGGAUAAAAGCUACCCUGGGAUAACAGGCUUAUCACUCCCAAGAGUUCACAUCGACGGAGUGGUUUGGCACCUCGAUGUCGGCUCAUCGCAUCCUGGGGCUGUAGUAGGUCCCAAGGGUUGGGCUGUUCGCCCAUUAAAGCGGUACGCGAGCUGGGUUCAGAACGUCGUGAGACAGUUCGGUCCCUAUCCGGCGUGGGCGUAGGAUAUCUGAGAGGAGCUGUCCUUAGUACGAGAGGACCGGGAUGGACGGGCCGCUGGUGCAUCGGUUAGACUGCCAAGUCUACGGCCGAGUAGCCAAGCCCGGAAGGGAUAAACGCUGAAGGCAUCUAAGCGUGAAGCCCCCCUUAAGAUGAGAUAUCCCAUUCGUUAAGAAGUAAACCCCCUUGAAGACGACGAGGUAGAUAGGGCAGAGGUGGAAGUGCAGCAAUGCAUGGAGCUGACUGUUACUAAUCGGGUGAGGGCUUGAUC
rnacentral:rRNA from 1 species